UACGGAGGGAGCUAGCGUUGUUCGGAAUUACUGGGCGUAAAGCGCACGUAGGCGGCUACUCAAGUCAGGGGUGAAAGCCCGGGGCUCAACCCCGGAACUGCCCUUGAAACUAGGUAGCUAGAAUCUUGGAGAGGUCAGUGGAACUCCGAGUGUAGAGGUGAAAUUCGUAGAUAUUCGGAAGAACACCAGUGGCGAGGGCGACUGACUGGACAAGUAUUGACGCUGAGGUGCGAAAGCGUGGGGAGCAAACAGG
rnacentral:rRNA from 1 species